rnacentral:rRNA from 1 species
UAGGGAAUCUUCCACAAUGGACGAAAGUCUGAUGGAGCAACGCCGCGUGAGUGAAGAAGGGUUUCGGCUCGUAAAGCUCUGUUGUUAAAGAAGAACACGUAUGAGAGUAACUGUUCAUACGUUGACGGUAUUUAACCAGAAAGUCACGGCUAACUACGUGCCAG